rnacentral:tRNA from 1 species
GGGCCCGUGGUCUAGAGGUUAUGACGUCGCCUUGACGAGGCGAAGUUCGAGGGUUCGAAUCCCUCCGGGCCCACCA